AGAGAGUGUCUGGAAAUACUGCUUUUUCUGAUUUAUAUCUUUAAACAUAAUGUCUUUUUAUUUUUAUUAUUUAUAUCUAGCUAACAGUGUGCUAGGCAGUACAAUCCAACGAGCUCAACGAUCUCAGGUGAUAAUACACAUGGGGAAAAAGAGGAGUAUGAUGGGUUAUAACCUGCCAUAAAAUCUGACGGGAUUGCAAGCAAGACAACAGGGUUGAUGACCCACAGGCACAGACACACCCCUUAAGACUAGCUGAACCUUUUCAAGUGCAUCUCCCUUUUCAUCUGCGUUUGAACUGAGAAGAUGGGCAGAGUGCCUAAAGCUGUGACUCAGGGUAUAUUGCAGCAUCACAGCAACCCUAUUGCUGUGGGAUUGCUGUUUGGCCAUUGACUUAUGUGCUGGAGCAGGGAGAGGCUGCAAGGUGAAGCUUUUCUUCAGGGAUUUCCUCCAGAUUGUGCUGUGGUGGAGAGGGAGAAAGUCAAUAACCAGCGUGGUUUUUCCGUGUGUGCAAAGAAAGGGAAAUGGUGGAGCAUCCUUUCACCCCUCCCGAUCUGGAGGGCUGGUGCCUGUACACAAAAGCUUUCCACCAUGCUCAGGGCAGAAAAUAUUUAUUUGAGGUCUAAGUUAACAGCUUUCAUGGUUUAUCAAAACACCUGGGAGUUGACAGAUUAAAGACUUGCUGAGUCAGCAGUCGUCUGCCAACAAGCAGAUGUUGCACGGAUGGACGCUGUUUCAGUGUGAAGAUUAGAUAUGUUGGGUAGACUACACCCUUCCCGCUUUUUUAUGGGUCUAUAGGAAGCCUGGCCAGUCAGCUGGUUUCACUUAUACAACACUUGGAGGAGAUUUCACUGGAAUCCAAGAAUGAUCUUCUUUUUGUAUGCAAAGAAAUAGUUCACAAGUAUCUCAGUGUAAAAUUCUCCCCUCAUUUCUCUUGCAGGUAGGCGGUCUAAAUGCAGAUCCAAGGAGACACAAGGUUUCAAUUAGACGUACCUCAGCAAAAGCAGUUUUUCAAGGUUUAAUAUCUGUGCUUCUGCAAUAUUAUAUUUCACCUUACAUUUGAAAUGGCUUCCCCAGAUGUCAUCACAAAGAGGGGAAUGAGCAUCCUUCCCUCGAAGUCUGGAAGUCAAAUCUGGUUUUCUUCUGUUUUCAGGUGGAUUAAGCAACCUACAGAACUUCCUGUGCUCUGGAUGUCCUGGUUUCGGCUGGGAUCGAGGACGCUGGACAAAUUUUUAACUUGGUCAAACCUAAAUUUCCAAGAGGAACUCAUCUAUUACAACUAUCCACUUGCUGAGGCACUCCCCAUUUCCCAGAAUGUGUCCCAGACCUGGAACCAGUUCCAUUGCUGAGACACUGAAUUUCUCACCUGCUGAUUGCAAUUAGCCACUGCCAGCUGGGGCCUGGGGAGCUGCUGAAGAGCUAACAAGAAACAGCAUUAGGCCUUGGCAGUGUGUAUGCUCUGAAUGAACAAGAAACAAGGUGCUGUGUUCCUGAUGUGGCUCCACCACAAAACAAGGUGCCUACAUCCUCAUCUAUGUGUCAAAAUCUACUUUGGGAAGCUCAGCUUGCUCCUCAAGCUCUUACACGUUGCCAUCACAUGUUUGCCAGAGAGGAAAUGUGAGGAAAUAAAGGUUAUUACAGGUAAAAACAAA